GUAUGGACAGGAUACUUCAUCAUAAUUUGUGGCUGUUUUAGUUGUUUGUUUGUUUAGAUCACCACUUUCUACGCCCCUAUUUGUGAUCACUUAUACAUCAAGCAUUAAUAAAUGUUCUUUUUGGAUUUCAUGGAGAAUCGAGGGGGUACAUCACACAAUGUUCCAUAACCCCUGCAAUUGCUCCAGCAGUCAUGUGUGUUGAAACAUCGGUGGUAGGAAGUGUUUCAUAGUCUUCAAAGUUCAUAAUAGUCUGUUAAUAAAAAACACUUCACUUAAAACAAUAA